GACUGUCUAUCUGGAGCGUCCUGGCGCUGCGCUGGAACACAGAAAAGCCCGUCACCUUCAACACUGGGGAAUUUUCUCUAUCCGUCAAUAGAAUACCUGCCUUCUCGUCCCGACAGCCUUCUGCCUUUGCAUUCGGAUUGUUUUGUCCGGCGGGUGUCAUUGAGUCGCGGGGCGUCGGUUCUCCAAAAGCGCAUCAGGAACAAUUACGCACAGAUCUCCAGCCAUCAGUGCCGAGAUGUCCGGAUACCAGGGCAAGAAGAACAUCCCCCGCAUCACCAGUGACCGUCUUCUAAUCAAAGGAGCGAAGAUAGUGAAUGAUGAUCAGUCUUUCCAUGCGGAUAUCUACAUUGAGGAUGGAGUCAUCAAGCAAAUUGGUGAAAACCUCAUAGUUCCUGGUGGUGUGAAGACCAUUGAUGCCCAUGGCAUGAUGCUGAUACCAGGUGGCAUUGAUGUCCAUACCCGCUUUCAGAUGCCUGAUCGGGGCAUGACAGCAGCCGAUGACUUCUACCAGGGCACGCGAGCUGCUCUCGCUGGUGGCACAACGAUGAUCAUUGAUCAUGUGGUUCCCGAGCCUGGUGUUAGUCUGAUCGCUGCCUUUAACCAGUGGAGAGAGUGGGCAGAUCAUAAAUCGUGCUGUGAUUACUCGCUCCAUGUGGACAUCACAGAGUGGCACAAGGGCAUGCAGGAGGAGGUCGAGGCACUGGUCAAAGAUCAUGGCGUCAACUCUUUCCUAGUCUACUUGGCUUACAAGGAUGUUUUCCAGCUGAACGACUCCCAGAUGUAUGAGGUGUUCAGUGUAAUCAGGGAUCUGGGAGCCAUCGCACAGGUGCACGCAGAGAAUGGUGACAUCAUCGCUGAGGAGCAGAAGAGAAUUUUGGGAUUGGGUAUCACUGGUCCUGAGGGACAUGUCCUGAGCCGUCCAGAGGAGGUGGAGGCUGAAGCUGUGAACCGGGCCAUAACUGUGGCCAAUCAGACCAACUGUCCCCUCUAUAUCACCAAGGUGAUGAGCAAGAGUGCUGCUGAUGUCAUCGCCCAGGCCAGGAAAAAGGGUACCGUGGUGUACGGGGAGCCCAUCUCAGCUAGUUUGGGGACGGACGGCACUCAUUACUGGAGCAAAAACUGGGCCAAAGCUGCAGCUUACAUCACAUCUCCCCCCCUCAGUCCUGACCCCACUACACCGGACUAUCUCAACUCCCUGCUCGCCUGUGGUGAUCUGCAGGUUACUGGCAGUGCGCACUGCACCUUCAACACCUCUCAGAGGGCCGUUGGCAAAGAUAAUUUCACCUUCAUCCCAGAAGGAACAAACGGCACUGAGGAGAGAAUGUCUCUCAUCUGGGACAAAUGUGUGGUGACAGGUAAGAUGGAUGAAAGCCAGUUUGUGGCCGUGACGAGCACCAAUGCCGCCAAGAUCUUUAACCUGUACCCACGUAAGGGCCGCAUCGCCGUGGGCUCCGAUGCUGAUCUGGUCCUCUGGGACCCCGAUGCCAGCAAGAUCAUCUCUGCAAAGAACCACCACCUGGCAGUGGAGUAUAAUAUCUUCGAGGGUAUUGAGGUACGUGGAGCUCCUGUGGUGGUGAUCAGUCAGGGGAAGAUCGUAUUGGAGGACGGGAAUUUUCACACCACUGAGGGGUCUGGACGAUACAUCACCCGUAAACCCUUCGCUGACUACGUCUACAAAAGGAUAAAGGCUCGCAGCAAGCAUGUUGUAAAGUUUGUCAUGAGUGACUACGGCGUCUCUCGUCACAGCUUGCAGAGCUGCGUGGGGUCCCUCGGGGUCUGUACGAUGGCCCAGUGUGUGAGGUCACUGUAACACCCAAGGUAAUGACCCCUGUCACUUCCGGGAAGUCUUCUCCGGCUAAACUAGCUCCUCAGCCAGUUCGCAACCUGCACCAGUCGGGAUUCAGCCUGUCUGGGGCUCAAAUUGAUGACAACAUCCCUCGUCGUACCACUCAACGCAUUGUAGCGCCACCUGGUGGCCGGGCCAACAUCACCAGCCUCGGAUAAAGUCAUUUACUCAAUAGAAAAAAAAAGAUGGGGUGGGGGUUGGGGUUAGAGAAACAUGGGCUUUUCCUCUGGAACCGGUUCUGGACUGUGUUCCAACAAGCACACCUCCUACCCUUCCUCAUACAUUUCUAAUCCAUUCAUCCAACUCUCCCUCCGUACUUUUAACCCCAGGGUCCCUUUCUUUGAAUGUGGUUUACUUGGGGGUGAUAAGUCUGGAUACGCCCCUGAGUGCAAGAUGAUAUCGUCAAUAUUUUAGAGUCAUUUUCCAGGUAGAGAAAUAAGUUUUAAAUGCAUUCUGUAUAUCUGCUAAAAGAUAGUUCACUUGCACAUAAGUGACCUCAAAGCUAACAUACAUGGACUAAAAGCCACUAGACCCCAAACUAAAUAUUGUUUCCAUCGACCCUUGUUUUGAAGAAAGAAUAACUUGAAUCCUGAAACUUGUACGGCUAUCCAAGUAAGCCACGUUCGAAAAACUGGAACCAGUACCAUCCGUCAUCUGCCUCCAUAUAGUAAUGUUUUAAUAUUUGUUUUAAUACUUUUAUUUUAUUUUCAUUUUGAAAAAGAACCGCACAAAACUACCACCGUUUCAAACGUGCUGUUGCCAUUUUGAUUGGUUGUUUUUCCUUGUAGGAAGAGUCGAUGAGUUAUUUAUUGUUUCCAAAAUUAUGUUACAAACCACAUUUCUUUUUUACAUUUUGCAAAAGUGUCAACUCUUACACAAAAGCCUGAUUUAUCAAAGGUUUUUAGAAUGGUGUUUUAUAUUGAACUCAAAAGUUCAAUUUCUUUUGUAUGUAUGUUAUAAUUUAGGUUUCGGGACAGUGUUUGUACUGUAAACACUUCUUGAAAUCCCUCAUGUUUGUCUUCCUCAUGUUCUUGUACUUCUUUAUUUUUCACUUUAUUUUUUCAGUAUUAAUUGACUGCUGUUUCGGAGAUGUUUCAGAGCAAAACAAAAAUAUUGAAGAGACUAACAUUAGUGUCUUGGCAGUUGUGCGCAGUCCUGUGGGGUUUUGUUGUGAUUUGAAUUGACUAAUAUUUUCACUGUAAAUGUCAAAUCGUCCGUUCCUUCUUUACCCUGCAGUUUACACAAACGGGGUUCUCACCAGAAAGAAUACAAUACAGAGAAAAUAAAGGAAAAAUCUCUAGGCAAAGAAGACGAAGCUGCUCUUUUCCCCCUGUCAUUUCAGACUAAAGCAAAGAGGGUUACCAUAGCAACAGGUCUCCAUCACUUGCCGUGCUGUGUUGGGCCAUUGCCCCGGUAACCCCUUCACAAUGGGUGUUUAAUUCGUGCUGUGGAUCCAUGCAUGGGUUCAUCCGUUUACCCCGUGACAUCACAGCAGUUCACACAGUGUUCACCACCAUGCCAUGGAGCAGCUACUCAACAACACCCCCCUCCUGUCCGAUACAAAACUGACCUUCACCUUUACCAUAAGGACAUUUUGCAGGUUGCAGUGACCACGGUUAUUUCAAACAGAUCGACCAGCAUGUUUAGGAGAUUCAGUGUUGAAUUAAACGUUAAGUGAGUUAAACGUUUUUUUGCAGUUCUACUUUGUUUUUAUAAAUUGACUUGCCUGCCUUUUCACCAAGUGAUACAGUUCUUGAUCAGUGUCUGUGAGUGUUGUUAUGACAAAAAGCUGAACAUUUCUCAUGGAAGAUUAUAUACAGAAUUCAUCAUUCUUCAUGUCUUUGAUUGUUACAAUAAAAUGCAGUUGUGAACA